AGCAAGACAAGAGGAGUCAUGGAGGUGAGAAAAUCUAAAGAGCAAAUAGAACAUCCCAGAAGAAAAAAGGGUUCAAAUGAAAGACCACGAAAGACAAAUGUGGAGAGAGAAGAUGCACAAGUAGUCAAGAAAAAACAGAAGAGAACAGUGCAUCGAGAAGCAAAACUAACAUGUCUGAACACAGGAGUACUGAAGGCAACUGCAACCCAACAAGCAAAAUGGCAACCACUUUCAAAGAGCACUAGAGAGCAUCUGGAAGCUACAGUGCAUUGGUUACUAGCGUCUAUUCUGUAUAAAACGACAGAAAAUCACAGUGAAAUUGAAAAGCAUUUAAAUCGCCUCAAGAAAAGGCUUCUCAACAUUUUUGAGACCCUGCGAGUUCCAGUGGAGAAGCUGAGCAGCUGGAAGAAUGUGCAUAAAAUUCUAGCAAAGGAAAAGAAAAUGAGUGUUGUCAUUGAAGAGGGUUUGGUGGAGUUGCAGAAUGAAUUGGAUAAAGUUUUGCAAGAAGCAGAAUUCAGAGAAAAGAAUAUUGAAUGUUUCCAGAACAAACUGCAGGAAUUAAAAUCUGAGCUGGCAGCAGAGGAAUCAGCAGCAAGCAAGUUAUUCCAGAGAGAUAUUAAAGAUGGUCUUCCUCUUCCAGAUAUCUCAAAAGAUUCUCUAAAAGCACCCAUUCUUCAGUGGCCACAUGGAAGAGAAAGAAGAAAUGACAAAAGUGUGGAAUGGCAAGGAAAGACCUGGCAGCACUAGGAACUACCAGCCACAGUGAGACUCUCCCACCCCACUACUGCUGAACCACUCAGUCAGCUGCUGUGUAUCCAAGGAUAGGGGGCAUCUUGACAGCCACUUGAAGAUGAAACUCUCCUGCACUGUGCAGCCCAGAAUGAGCUUUUGAAAGUUAAAAACGAACAACUUCUUAAAGACUUGAACACUAUUCAGCAAUCAGAUGAAAUGAAGACUGUGUCAGCUUUUCUAGAACAUGUGUA